AGAGACUGUUUUUGUCGAGCCUGCAACUUUUGUUGCAGAAAGCUCGACAUAGGGAUAGUGAUCCGGCGGCGGCGGCGGUGUUAGCUCACUUCUUAAAAGCUAUAUAUUUUUAGAACGUGGAAGACCUGGAUGCUUCAUAUUUUGUAUAUAGAUGCCUCAUGUUACGAAGUUUCCGUCAGUCACAUGUCCAUUGUCCUUGACCUCAUUUUCAUGGUUCAGUGACCACUUGAAAAAAAAGUUCAGAUUUUUUGUAAUGUUAAAUUCUCUCUUACUGUAAGUAAUAGGAUAACUAUAUUUAGUAUGUGCGUACCUUGCAAGGUCCUCAUGCCCGUCAGACAAUUUUCACUUGACCUCGACCUCAUUUCAUGGAUCAGUGAACAAGGUUAAGUUUUGGUGGUCAAGUCCAUAUCUCAGAUACUAUAAGCAAUAGGUCUUGUAUAUUUGGUGUAUGGAAGGACUGUAAGGUGUACAUGUCCAACUGGCAGGUGUCAUCUGACCUUGACCUCAUUUUCAUGGUUCAGUGGUUAUAGUUAAGUUUUUGUGUUUUGGUCUGUUUUUCUCAUACUUUAUGCAAUAGGUUUACUAUAUUUGUUGUAUGGAAUGAUUGUAAGGUGUACAUGUCUAGCGGACAGAUGUCAUCUAACCUUGACCUCAUUUUCAUGGUUCAGUGGUUAUAGUUAAGUUUUUGUGUUUUGGUCUGUUUUUCUCAUACUUUUUGCAAUAGGUUAACUAUAUUUGUUGUAUGGAAUGAUUGUAAGGUGUACAUGUCUAGCGGGUAGAUGUCAUCUGACCUUGACCUCAUUUUCAUGGUUCAGUGGUCAAAGUUAAGUUUUUGAGUUUUGGUCUUUUCAUCUAAUACUAUAUGUCAUAGGUCAACUAUAUUUGGUGUAUGGAAAUAUUUUAUGAUCUAUAUGUCAGUCGUGCAGGUUUUAUUUGACCUUGACCUGGUUUUCACGGUUCAUUGCUCAGUGUUAAGUUUUUGUGUUUUGGUCUAUUUUCUUAAACUAUAAGCAAUAGGUCAACUAUAUUUGUUGUAUGGAAGCAUUGUUAGCUGUACAUGUCUGCAUGGCAUAUGGUUCAACUGACCUUGACCUCAUUUUCAUGGUUCAUGUUAAGUUUAUGUGACAGUCGUAAUAAAGCUUUAUAUUUAGGAGUAUCAACAUAAUAUCAAUGAUUAGUAAAGAAGGCGAGG
rnacentral:lncRNA from 1 species